GACGAACGCUGGCGGCGUGCUUAACACAUGCAAGUCGAACGGAAAGGCCCUGCUUUUGUGGGGUGCUCGAGUGGCGAACGGGUGAGUAACACGUGAGUAACCUGCCCUUGACUUUGGGAUAACUUCAGGAAACUGGGGCUAAUACCGGAUAGGAGCUCCUGCUGCAUGGUGGGGGUUGGAAAGUUUCGGCGGUUGGGGAUGGACUCGCGGCUUAUCAGCUUGUUGGUGGGGUAGUGGCUUACCAAGGCUUUGACGGGUAGCCGGCCUGAGAGGGUGACCGGCCACAUUGGGACUGAGAUACGGCCCAGGCUCCUACGGGAGGCAGCAGUGGGGAAUAUUGCACAAUGGGCGGAAGCCUGAUGCGGCAACGCCGCGUGCGGGAUGACGGCCUUCGGGUUGUAAACCGCUUUCGCCUGUGACGAAGCGUGAGUGACGGUAAUGGGUAAAGAAGCACCGGCUAACUACGUG
rnacentral:rRNA from 1 species